rnacentral:lncRNA from 1 species
UAAAACUACAAAUCAACACACACAUCACUCCCUUCUAUCUAAAACCGGCCACCCUAUUAAAAUAGGGUACUUUUGGGGCUUUUAUGCAAUUACAUAAAGUUUUGAUACUUUUGUGUAUUUGCACUUUGGCCCAAAAGUUUACGUUUUUACGUUUAGGUCCAAAAACGCUAGAGGACAAAUUGUUUUGCUCCUUUAAUGAAGUUUUUGCAUUGUUUAAAUUUUGGGUUCUAGUUGUAAUUACAUGAAGUAGUGGACUUUUGUGUUUUUACAAAGUGACCCUAAAAGUUUAUGUUUUUGCAAUAUAGCCCAAAGGUUGUGGUAAUUGCAUAUUGGCCCAAAUUAGGAUGAGAACAAAAUGGUUUUGUCUCUUUAAAUGAGAAUUGGAUUUUCAUUUCAUUUA